rnacentral:rRNA from 1 species
UGGGGAAUAUUGCACAAUGGGCGCAAGCAUGAUGCAGCCAUGCCGCGUGUAUGAAGAAGGCCUUCGGGUUGUAAAGUACUUUCAGUCGGGAGGAAGGUGGUAAGGUUAAUAACCUUGGCAAUUGACGUUACCGACAGAAGAAGCACCGGCUAACUCCGUGCCAGCAGCCGCGGUAAUACGGAGGGUGCAAGCGUUAAUCGGAAUUACUGGGCGUAAAGCGCACGCAGGCGGUUGAUUGAGUCAGAUGUGAAAUCCCCGGGCUUAACCCGGGAAUUGCAUCUGAUACUGGUCAGCUAGAGUCUUGUAGAGGGGGGUAGAAUUCCAUGUGUAGCGGUGAAAUGCGUAGAGAUGUGGAGGAAUACCGGUGGCGAAGGCGGCCCCCUGGACAAAGACUGACGCUCAGGUGCGAAAGCGUGGGGAGCAAACAGG